rnacentral:rRNA from 1 species
UACGAAGGGAGCUAGCGUUGUUCGGAAUCACUGGGCGUAAAGCGCGCGUAGGCGGCUUUGUAAGUUAGAGGUGAAAGCCCGGAGCUCAACUCCGGAAUUGCCUUUAAGACUGCAUCGCUAGAAUCAUGGAGAGGUUAGUGGAAUUCCGAGUGUAGAGGUGAAAUUCGUAGAUAUUCGGAAGAACACCAGUGGCGAAGGCGACUAACUGGACAUGUAUUGACGCUGAGGUGCGAAAGCCAGGGGAGCAAACGGG